CCCACGACUGAUCCCCCACCCCCAAAAAGAAGGAAAGGGAAGGAGUUAGUUGAGAUGUAAGAUCUGCAUCAUAUCUAUAUUUUUUAGUGUAAUAUCUAGCACAUACAACCAUUAUAAAUUAAGUGUUGAAUAAAUAGCUUCCUUAUUAGAUCCAACUCAAAAAUCAUGCACACCCAUAAAACAAGAGAAUGGUAUAGGAAUCCACAACUGAUUCUCACAUUUUAGAUACCUUUAUUCCUUUUUAGCCUAUCCUCACGUUUUGUUUUUUUUUUUUUUUUGUGGUGCCAGUGCUAGCACUUGAACUCAGUGCAUAGCCACUGGCCCUGAGCUUUUUUGCCCAAGACUGGUACCCUCACUUGAGUGAGCCCUAACACCACCACUAACUUUUUGGUUUCCUGCACAGGCUGACUUUAAACUUUGAUCUUCAGAUCUCAGCCUCCUGAGUAGCAAGGAUUACAGGUAUGAGCCACCAGUGCUCUUCCUUGAACUAUUAUUCAGUCACUCAUAUGGAAAAUUUUAAAUAAUUAUAUUGUCUACAGUGAAAUAUUGACUGAUUCAGGCAAGGAUCAUCAAUGAAAGUUAAAAUUAAUAUAAAAGUUUAGGUGAAGCCAGGCUUUAUAACCCUUCUAUUACUAAAACAACUGUAGUACUAAUUAUAACAAUAAAAUACUUUAAAGAUCUUGAAUAUCCAUA